AGUUUGAUCAUGGCUCAGGAUGAACGCUGGCGGUAUGCCUAACACAUGCAAGUCGAACGGGAAUCUUUCGGGAUUCUAGUGGCGGACGGGUGAGUAACGCGUGAGAACCUGCCUCAAGGAUGGGGACAACAGCGGGAAACUGCUGCUAAUACCCAAUAAGCCGCAAGGUGAAAGAUUUAUCACCUAGAGAGGGGCUCGCGUCCGAUUAGCUAGUUGGUGGGGUAAGAGCCUACCAAGGCAGCGAUCGGUAGCUGGUCUGAGAGGAUGAGCAGCCACACUGGGACUGAGACACGGCCCAGACUCCUACGGGAGGCAGCAGUGGGGAAUUUUCCGCAAUGGGCGAAAGCCUGACGGAGCAAUACCGCGUGAGGGAGGAAGGCUCUUGGGUUGUAAACCUCUUUUCUGGGGGAAGAAGUUCUGACGGUACCCCAGGAAUCAGCAUCGGCUAACUCCGUGCCAGCAGCCGCGGUAAUACGGAGGAUGCAAGCGUUAUCCGGAAUUAUUGGGCGUAAAGCGUCCGCAGGUGGUACAUCAAGUCUGCUGUCAAAGACCGGAGCUCAACUCCGGGCAGGCAGUGGAAACUGGUGAACUAGAGUACGGUAGGGGUAGAGGGAAUUCCCAGUGUA
rnacentral:rRNA from 1 species